CCUCCUCAUCUCCUCAUCUUAUGAACAAUCUGGUGAAUUCAUCGCUCAAUUUCAAUCAACUUUCACUCAAUUUCUCUCAAUAUCUCUAUCAUCAGUACCACACCAGACACCACCACCAGCUCCUCUUUUAAUCGCCAUCGUCAUUGUCACCAUGACUACAGCUGUUCUUCGACGUCGUUAUCCCACAGUCACCAGUAGCCGGUUUUAGCCUCAUCAGAACCGUCUCCUCCUCGUACCAUCUCUACCGUAGGCGACAGAUUUUGGUGAUAGCAGUCAUCACUCAGGUGGACCUUCUGCCGCAUCGACUCUUUAGUUGAUUUCAACGGUACCAGUGCCGAUAUUUGGUUUUUUCGAUUCUGUCCGGGUACCGGUGCCCAUAUUUGGAGAUUUCGGGGUUAUACGCAAUUUCUUGAUACACCAGAGGUUCUUUUAAGUUGUUUGAUGCAGGUAUG